GGAUCCCAUCAGAACUCCGAAGUUAAGCGUGCUUGGGCGAGAGUAGUACUAGGAUGGGUGACCUCCUGGGAAGUCCUCGUGUUGUAUUCCU
rnacentral:rRNA from 1 species